rfam:Actinoplanes regularis strain DSM 43151 genome assembly, contig: Ga0170398_116
GUCCGGGUGGCGGAAUGGCAGACGCGCUAGCUUGAGGUGCUAGUGCCCGCAAGGGCAUGGGGGUUCAAGUCCCCCUCCGGACA